UUUAAAUGUAAAUUUUUAUUAAAAUUAUUAUAAGUUAAGAUCUUUAAAAUUAAAAAUUUUGGCGGUAUUUUAGUCUUUUCAGAGGAACCUGUUUUUUAAUCGAUAAUCCACGAUAAUUUUUACUUUAUUUUUAAAUUUAUAUAUCGUUGUAGUUUGAAAAUUUUAAAAGAAUUUAAUUUUCAAUAUUUAAAAUUAUAAUAGAAUUCAGAUCAAGGUGUAGUUUAUAAUAAAGAUAAAAUGGGUUACAAUAAAUUUAUUUUUGGUAAUUAAUUUUGUAAUUUAAUUUAAAUUGGAUUUGAAAGUAAUUUUAUUAUUUUAAUAAGAUGAUUAUGCUCUAAAAUAUGC
rnacentral:rRNA from 1 species